AAGGGAGGGCUCCUGUCCACGAGCAUUGAGUGACAACCUCGAACCUGUUUCUUCCCAGCCCACCUGGGAAUCCAACCUGCACUCGGAUUUCAAGGGAGAGGGAAUGUGAAGUGUUUCCUCAUCCAACCUGCCGCUAUCUCUUUAGCAGCGAGCCUCUCUCUCCUCUACGGUAAUUUUCCAUUGUGUAGAAUCAAACCUUAUCUUCAAUUCUUCUCCUCCAUUCUAAUAAUAAGUGUGGCUUCACAAGCGAUUCAUUCACCCAACGCUGCUGAUUGGGACUUCACAGCACUUCAAAGUCCUGCCCACAGGUCCUGGAGGGGGGGGUUAAGUGGAACACAGACAUCUGAUGAAGAGAAAAAUAUCAGGUGGAGGUGUUUGCAAGCUUUAGGUUUCGAGAGGCUCUGAAGGAUCCUGUCACCUCUCCUGGGUCAAGGCUCCUCAGCUUUCCAGACAAACACUUUUCCCGGGAUGUUUUGCCAAAUGCCAUGGUGACUCACCCUUGUCACUCCUCUUCUCUGGGGUAGCAACACUGAGAGGGAAAAACAACUGCUGUUUACUGCCAUGCCCAAAAUGGGCCUUGACACUGCCAGCAGGAUUUGGAAAGACAGAAAUAGAGGAGUGAUUAUGGAGUGCAAUUAAGAGACAGCCCUCAGGAUCCUCCUCCAGAGGAGGAUUGGCUCCAUCCAGGCUGCCUGCCAUGCUUGGGAUGGGUGUAAAGCUGCUGGAGAGCUGUGAGGGAUGCAGGAUGCUGCUCCCAGCUGGGCUCACCAGCCAGUCUGCCCCUUCCCAAAAGGAUUCACGGACAAUCCGUGGCAGCAAAUCCAAGGCAGAGAUGAAGAACUGCAAGACUUUUUUCUCUUUGGCUGGUGAAGAGAAACACACACAGUACUGGGACCAUCCCCUGCCGUGUUCCCUGCAAGCAAAUACAAAAGAAGAAGGAAAAAGGCUCAAGAUAUUCAGUGGCAGGUGACAUUUUGGGCUGAGUCACAGAGAUGUCCCCUGUGCAUCCCCAUGGGAAUGGUCCUGCUCCAGCUUGCUGGCAUUUCCCUUUCAGGCCCUGCUCCUAACUCUCAAAUAAAUUGUCUUUAUUCAGUGGGAGAACGAAGAACU